AUAAAUGUCUGUUAAAUUUUUCGUUGCAUUCAUCUGGCGGACCACGACACCAUGAUCUACGAAGUUUCCCUCCUUCUGCUGGGCUUCAGUUUCGUCUUGAAUGUCGGAGUUCAGGGCAGCGUGAAGACAGUCCACCCUUCGACGACCUCUGUCCCAGUAGCUGAACUGAGCCGAUUUAGAGCCAAUGAUUUUUCCUCCAAUAGUCGAUUUUUUCGUGGACGAGAUGGUAGAGACGGUAGGGACGGACUGCAGGGACCUGUCGGACCGCCCGGUCCAGCCGGUCCUACGGGCCCUGCGGGACCGCAAGGGGAGACUGGGCGGCAGGGUCCCCAGGGGGAGAGAGGAC